GGAAGGUGCAAGCGUUAAUCGGAAUUACUGGGGCGUAAAGCGCGCGUAGGCGGCUAGAUUAGUCGGGUGUGAAAGCCCUGGGGCUCAACCUGGGAACUGCAUUCGAUACUGUCUAGCUAGAGUCUGGUAGAGGGAGGCGGAAUUCCGCAUGUAGCGGUGAAAUGCGUAGAGAUGCGGAGGAACACCAAUGGCGAAGGCAGCCUCCUGGACUAACACUGACGCUGAGGCGCGAAAGCGUGGGGAGCAAACAGGAUUAGAUACCCUGGUAGUCCACGCCGUAAACGAUGUCAACUAGCCGUUGGGAGCAUUUUGGCUCUUGGUGGCGCAGCUAACGCGAUAAGUUGACCGCCUGGGGAGUACGGUCGCAAGAUUA
rnacentral:rRNA from 1 species